GCCGUAGCUCAGUGGUAUAUCAUCUGCCUUGCAUGCAGAAGGUUCCAGGUUCAAUUCCCGGAAUCUCCA